GGAAAGAUGGCUCAGUGGUAGAGUGCAUGCCUUGCAUGCAUGAGGCUCUGUGUUUGAUUCCU
rnacentral:tRNA from 1 species